UGCCCAGCAACUCCUAUCCCAACCUCCUCGCGGUACCGGCCGGAAACUAUGGGCAACCUUAGGGAAGA
rnacentral:ribozyme from 1 species